GGACGAACGNUGGCGGCGUGCCUAAUACAUGCAAGUCGAGCGAAUNNAUGGGAGCUUGCUCCCUGAGAUUAGCGGCGGACGGGUGAGUAACACGUGGGCAACCUGCCUAUAAGACUGGGAUAACUUCGGGAAACCGGAGCUAAUACCGGAUACGUUCUUUUCUCGCAUGAGAGAAGAUGGAAAGACGGUUUACGCUGUCACUUAUAGAUGGGCCCGCGGCGCAUUAGCUAGUUGGUGAGGUAAUGGCUCACCAAGGCGACGAUGCGUAGCCGACCUGAGAGGGUGAUCGGCCACACUGGGACUGAGACACGGCCCAGACUCCUACGGGAGGCAGCAGUAGGGAAUCUUCCGCAAUGGACGAAAGUCUGACGGAGCAACGCCGCGUGAACGAAGAAGGCCUUCGGGUCGUAAAGUUCUGUUGUUAGGGAAGAACAAGUACCAGAGUAACUGCUGUACCUUGACGGUACCUAACNAGAAAGCC
rnacentral:rRNA from 1 species